GUUUCUGUAGGUGAACCUGCUGCUGGAUCAUUACA
rnacentral:rRNA from 1 species